CAGCGAUUAAUACAAUCCCCUGUUUAUACUCUCAUAAAUUAGAGAACUCUGCCCCGCCUUUCCUCCACUAUCUUGCUUCCAGUAAACCCUAUUUUUUUUAUCCAAUUUGCCUCUGUCUCACAGAUCGCCAAAUCGCCAUAGCCGGUGACUCCCUCUCCUCUCUUAAUCUCUCACUUCCUUCUCCUCUUCUCGACAGCUCUUCAAUAAAGCUGGCAAGAAUUUCGCUAAUCUUUGUCGUUCCUUUGAUAUAUGUGGAUCAAUUCACCUAGCUUGUAGAUAAUGUUGCGGAUGCAGUUCGGGCACUUUAAACACACGAUGCUGCAAAUUGUCUUGCGGAGGUUUCGCGAGUCUCGUUUGUGUUUGUGCUCCAAGGUUAUAUCUUUUGGGAGAAAAUAUAUAGUUUGUUUGUAAAACCACGUUUCAAAGGGAGGGUGCUCUCACAAUAAGAGACUAUGAUCCUGCCUCAAAAGAAGAUACAAAUAUACUUUUGAUCAUAUUUCUUUUUCCCCUUUCCUCUUCAGCUUUGGAUGGUACUGCCCCUAUUUAUGCGACUCUCAAGCUACUCAAGAUCUUACUUGAUAAGAGGCAAGUCAUAUAUGCCUGGCUUUAUGUUUAAAUUACUUUAUAUUUUGGUGAAUGAUCACUAUACAAAUCACAAAUAUAAUUAAUUAACACCAGGAAUUCUUCCGCAUUUUUGCUCUGCUACUAAAAAUUCUUUUAUGUUUUCAAUUACAACACUUAAUUCUUGGUAAGAAAAAACUUUUAUGUUUUCAUUUACAACACUUAGUUAUGGCUGGAACUAAUUGGAAUUGAAUUGUAAGCUAACCUCACUCCUCAGAACGCAUGCACCAACUUGAUAAAUAUGAACACAAGAAGAGAUAAAUAUUGAUUUAUUUUUAUUAACUGCAAAACUUUUGGGUGGUUGCAUCUGUACAUGACUUGAUUAUAUGAAUUUUGUUCCCAUUUACUUAUAACAGUUGAUACUUUAUAUGGAGAUAGUUGAUGUUAUUGUGCUCGAGCUAAUUGUAACUAGUGUAUAUAUAUAUAUAUAUAUAUAUAUAUAUAUAUAUAUAUAUAUGUGUGUGUGUGUGUGUGGUGUGUGUGUUUGUAUCUUGAUCCUUUUGAGU